rnacentral:rRNA from 1 species
ACGAGUUAUCUGAACCUUCGGGGAACGAUAACGGCGUCGAGCGGCGGACGGGUGAGUAAUGCCUAGGAAAUUGCCCUGAUGUGGGGGAUAACCAUUGGAAACGAUGGCUAAUACCGCAUAAUGCCUUCGGGCCAAAGAGGGGGACCUUCGGGCCUCUCGCGUCAGGAUAUGCCUAGGUGGGAUUAGCUAGUUGGUGAGGUAAGGGCUCACCAAGGCGACGAUCCCUAGCUGGUCUGAGAGGAUGAUCAGCCACACUGGAACUGAGACACGGUCCAGACUCCUACGGGAGGCAGCAGUGGGGAAUAUUGCACAAUGGGCGCAAGCCUGAUGCAGCCAUGCCGCGUGUGUGAAGAAGGCCUUCGGGUUGUAAAGCACUUUCAGUCGUGAGGAAGGUUGUGGAGUUAAUAGCUGAAUUAUUUGACGUUAGCGACAGAAGAAGCACCGGCUAACUCCGUGCCAGCAGCCGCGGUAAUACGGAGGGUGCGAGCGUUAAUCGGAAUUACUGGGCGUAAAGCGCAUGCAGGUGGUUUGUUAAGUCAGAUGUGAAAGCCCGGGGCUCAACCUCGGAAUUGCAUUUGAAACUGGCAGACUAGAGUACUGUAGAGGGGGGUAGAAUUUCAGGUGUAGCGGUGAAAUGCGUAGAGAUCUGAAGGAAUACCGGUGGCGAAGGCGGCCCCCUGGACAGAUACUGACACUCAGAUGCGAAAGCGUGGGGAGCAAACAGGAUUAGAUACCCUGGUAGUCCACGCCGUAAACGAUGUCUACUUGGAGGUUGUGGCCUUGAGCCGUGGCUUUCGGAGCUAACGCGUUAAGUAGACCGCCUGGGGAGUACGGUCGCAAGAUUAAAACUCAAAUGAUUUGACGGGGGCCCGCACAAGCGGUGGAGCAUGUGGUUUAAUUCGAUGCAACGCGAAGAUCCUUACCUACUCUUGACAUCCAGAGAACUUUUCAGAGAUGGAU